rnacentral:rRNA from 1 species
AUUCCUACGGGAGGCAGCAGUAAGGAAUAUUGCGCAAUGGGCGAAAGCCUGACGCAGCGACGCCGCGUGGGGGAUGAAGGUCUUCGGAUUGUAAACCCCUUUCGGGAGGGAAGAUGGAAUGGGGUAACCCAUUCGGACGGUACCUCCAGAAGCAGCCACGGCUAACUUCGUGCCAGCAGCCGCGGUAAUAAU